rnacentral:rRNA from 1 species
GAUGAACGCUGGCGGCGUGCUUAACACAUGCCAGUCGAACGGUGAGGCCCAGCUUGUUGGGUGGGUUCGAGGGGCAAAGGUGUGUAAAACACGAGUAACAUGCGCUUAACUCUGUGGUAUGACUGGAAAACAGGGGGUAUUACAGCAUAGAGGAGUUCCCCGCGCGGGGGGGGGUGUGGAGAUUUUUGGCGGUUGGGGAUGGACUCGCGGCUUAUCAGCUUGGUGGUGGGGUAGUGGCUUACCAAGGCUUUGACGGGUAGCCGGCCUGAGAGGGUGACCGGCCACACUGGGACUGAGAUACGGCCCAGACUCCUACGGGAGGCAGCAGUGGGGAAUAUUGCACAAUGGGCGGAAGCCUGAUGCAGCGACGCCGCGUGCGGGAUGACGGCCUUCGGGUUGUAAACCGCUUUCAGCUGUGAAGAAGCGAAAGUGACGGUAACUGGAGAAGAAGCACCGGCUAACUACGUG